rnacentral:rRNA from 2 species
UUAAAUUGAAGAGUUUGAUCAUGGCUCAGAUUGAACGCUGGCGGCAGGCCUAACACAUGCAAGUCGAACGGUAACAGGAAGCAGCUUGCUGCUUCGCUGACGAGUGGCGGACGGGUGAGUAAUGUCUGGGAAACUGCCUGAUGGAGGGGGAUAACUACUGGAAACGGUAGCUAAUACCGCAUAAC